rnacentral:rRNA from 1 species
GACGAACGCUGGCGGCGUGCUUAACACAUGCAAGUCGAACGGAAAGGCCCUGCUUUUGUGGGGUGCUCGAGUGGCGAACGGGUGAGUAACACGUGAGUAACCUGCCCUUGACUUUGGGAUAACUUCAGGAAACUGGGGCUAAUACCGGAUAGGAGCUCCUGCUGCAUGGUGUGGGUUGGAAAGUUUCGGCGGUUGGGGAUGGACUCGCGGCUUAUCAGCUUGUUGGUGGGGUAGUGGCUUACCAAGGCUUUGACGGGUAGCCGGCCUGAGAGGGUGACCGGCCACAUUGGGACUGAGAUACGGCACAGACUACUACGGGAGGCAGCAGUGGGGAAUAUUGCACAAUGGGAGGAAGCCUGAUGCAGCAACGCCGCGUGCGGGAUGACGGCCUUCGGGUUGUAAACCGCUUUCGCCUGUGACGAAGCGUGAGUGACGGUAAUGGGUAAAGAAGCACCGGCUAACUACGUG